ACACUUUCGGCUCACCCCAAGAUUUCUCAGGACUCCCCUCCCUCAUCCAAUCACUGUGGGAGCAGACAAGGACCCUCUAUCGGCGGAUAAGGCAUUGUGAAGGAAUUCUGAACUGCAAUCCAGUGCAUCCAUCAAAGCUCACUGCGCACUUUCUAGCUUGGGGGUCUGCAACAAAUUCUCCACAGCAACCUGAUGCUCAGCAGGGGAUAAAUUAACCUUUAAAGGACUGGAUUUAAUCAGAACGCCUUGGGCUACAGGACAGAAGCACAGCAUUGGUCUGCCCCUCUUCCUCCCUAUUUACAAACCACCAAACUGCUUUUUGGACGUUUCUGCACAUCCCAUCACAACAUCCUUGCAGACAUUUAGGAACCAGCCAGCAGUUUCUAGCAGAUAAUGGCUCCUUACCUCUUCUGCUUUGCGCCGAAGAACUCUGGCCUGCUUCUCAAAGUCUCUCUCAAGCUUCAGUAGCUCAUAUUGCCUUUUGCGAUCCUGCAAACAAAUACACCCAAGGUGCAGGAAGUAAAGUGUCAGCUUAAUAGCCAUUGACUAUUCCACACUUCUUGAAAGAGAACACAUGCAUCGCAGAACAACAUACUUAAGUGCUUCAUGACAGUGAUUUCACUGAUCAUUACACGCUUAAGUCACGCCUUGUUGUUGAGAACAGCUGGCUGCCAGGCUUAGAAUAGAAGGGCUUUCCACCAAAAAGGUUCAGAAGCCUGAAGGCUGCAUGAGACUGCAAAUCACAAGCUUAAAAUGUAGCAUCCCUAAGCACUGGGGGAAAACUUUAUGUAUUAAGAUCUCCUGUGAGACCAGAAAUCAAGUGGUACACAUGUCUGCUCUUUAUUACACGUAAAUAGUACAAGCCAGAUGGAUUUAACUGACUCACUCUUUACCUGUAGACUGAAUAUUCCCUUGAAAGGUUGAAUACUCCUGUUUUGUGGCCAAACUUUAUGACUUUAAAUACUUAAGAAUAUAAGUAUCUUUAUCUUUUGCUUUAGAGUUGAAUGAUGAUGAGCCUGUUGAUAGCUUCAAGGUCUCCAGACAUAAGCAAGAGGCUCCUUUUACAACUGCUAAAAGGCGGCAACCACACAAACUGUCUUGUUAUCUUCAAAGUAUUCCCCAGAAGUUUGUCCAGAUGCUUGUACAUUAAGCAAAGCCUUACAGCAAAGGCAUUCAUUAUUUGUUUCACUCCAAAGAGGUGCAGUUUGGAAGCUUGUUCUUUGCUCACCCGUUGUAUCAGUUGGGUCACUUCCUUGUCCUUCUUUUGUUUCCACUGUCUGAAUUUCUCAGCAUCCUCUUUCAUCUGGCGCAUCAGCUGUACCCUUUGGUUUUUCAUUUCCUAGAAAAUACAGAGGGCUGGAAGGAUUGGCCAAUAAUUAACUCUGGGUAGUUUCAACCUACAUUUCCAUGCUGUGGGUUGGUAGACAUGGGUACCAGGAGUGGUGGUGGGCAGAAAGCAUUAUAAUAUGCUCCUCUCUUGGAGAACAUGACUAAGGAUGCUUUCAAAGUGCUAAAGCCCAGGAAUUCAUUUUCAAGCCAUAAAGGGAAAUAAUAAUAAUAACAAUCACAUGCAUGAUGUGACAUGGAAAUCAAAGUGAAGUAACUUGACUAAGGCAGCAAAAUGUCAGAAUCGGCAGAAGACACUUCUGUUUUCUUCUAUUCCUCUAACUCACAGUAGUCAUCUCCCUAUUGCAUUGCACCACCAAUGGAUGUCACCUAGCCAAAAGAACUCUGCCAAAAGACUGGCAUUUUCUGUUUUAUUAGACCGAGAACACCACCAGCUUCUAUCUGGAAGCCACUUUAUCUAAACUGUGGCAAGGCUGAGAACUGCUAGUGCUAGUUACCCUGAUCUCCUGGUUCAGUUUGGAGACUGUGUGUUCUGAGGAUUCUUUCAACUUCAGGAGCUUUGCUUGUUCAUUCAGCUUUUUCUUUAGCUCAUUAAUUUGCCCUUCCAACUCCUGAAGUCUUUUCCGACGCCGUUCACUCAGCCUGUAAAGAAGCCACACUUCAAAAACAGACUUCUGGUUUCCUCUGUUAUUCUUAAACAAAUGUUCUCCAAAAUAUUCUGGCAAACUGACUUUUUCCCCCCUGGAGCCUCAGAACAUACCCUGCCAAUGACAUCUGCAGUGUUUCCAAGCACUCACUAGCAUGUUGCACUACCACAGAUUAGAGGUACAGUACUCUUAAUCAAAAGAAGAGCUGUGUCUUAUAGCUAAAGAGGCUCAGCAUGAGGCUAAGAUGAUGAAUUUUCUCAGAUGCAUUAACACAGAUUUCAGUGCUAUAAUCCAUGCAGCUUGUGUAGUCACACUUACUUGGCUUGGUUGGCAUCCUUCUUUGCCAAGCUCUGGAUGAGCUCCUCCUUUUCUUUUUGCAAAUUGCUGACUUCUGAUUCCAGGUCCUUGAUGUUUGUCUACAAAGACAGAAGCAGAAGCCUUCCAGAAACAACCUGAAAACCCCCCUUCCUAGAGACGAAGCUUUAAGACAGAACACCCUGGGGAACCAUGUUUCUUCCCAACAGACUAUAGGACAUUCCCUAAAACCAGUACAUCUGAAACUGUAGUCAGUGCACAAAGCCAUUUUAACAUCAACCAGAAGUGAAAAGUGAAGAGUUUCAGAGAGAUCCCAUCACAGCUUGUAAUGAGGAAAGCCAGAUCAGCAAGCUGCACUGAUGUUUAAUAAUAAGUACUGCAUGUUGGCUUAGAAUAGACAAGUAAGUGUUGAAGAAAAAGAAAAAAAACAAACCAGAAUCCUAUUUCACAUUAAACAGACAGUGGCUAAUUUAUUUCUGGGAAGAGAUCAUCUUCUGCUGGACUGCUUGUAGAUAAUCAGACAAGAUUUCUCCCCAUUCUUUGCUGACCUAUAGCCAACAUCCUUCCGUGCCCAAGAGGGCAAUGGCUAAAACUUAAGGAAAGAGACUCAACAAAAACAUGCUCAUGAAAGGGUAGAUCUUCAAUGUACAGUCAAUACACUAAUAAUGAAAACAAAACUUAUACACCCUUAAAGAAGCUAUUUAUGGAAGAAUUUACCUGGAACUGGGACUGAAUGGGCUCCAACUGACUCUCAUCCUGCGAGAUUUUUUUUGCAAGUGCUUCUUUCAUAGCCAGGGCUUUAUUCAGUUCAACCAGUUCUUUAGACAUCUGUACUUGACGGAGGGCAUGCUGCGUGCUAAAGUCACCAGAGGAUCUCUUGGUAACCUGGUUUGCUUCUGUUUCCUGAAGAAGACACAGCAAUGAGUUGGAAUGGCCAACCUAAAGCUCUUUGACAACUCAAUUAAUUUCUGCAGAACAAAUUCAUUUUUGCGUUAAGAAAAACAGGUAUUCAUUAAUGAGAACAGGUUACUGAACUUGAAUUGAGUACAUAUGGAUGUAAAAAUGCAGCACGCACACAAAAGUGACACAUUAUCCACAAUUACUUGAAUGAGUAAACCAGCAAAAAGACAAAUUAGGGAGGAGCAAUAGAACAAGAAUAUGCCCCAGUUAAGACUAAGGACUCCCCUCACUUACACCAGUAGCACCCUGUUCUGGGCUUGCCAUCUCUGCAGCAGCUUCCUCUGUGGCAGCACUUUCAGCCUAUAUAAAAAAAAAAGGGAGACAGGGGAAAAAAAAAAAAAAAAAAGGUAUGAUGUUAGAAAAUUAAGAUGAAGUUAAUAGCAGCCUCUUGGUCUAUAAUAACAAAGUCAGUUACCCUCCUCUGCUCAAAAAGCUAUUUCUGGGAAGAUGUCAUUGACUUCCUUCUGUUAUACAGUGAGCAGCCUCCUCCUCCUGAGGAGGCAUUCUGCCCAGGUUCCCCAGACACUGCAGCCAGAUCCUCACAAGAGCAAGGAAUGUGGGGCAGGAGGGGAAAUAUCUAGUAAGGUAGUACAGAGAAGUUCUCAAUUAGACAAAGAUCUGGCAACCUCUAUAAAACAACUCCAGGUUUCUGCAAUUGGGGUUGCUCAUUAAGCUACCAAAUUUCUAAUUCAACUUUCAGUUUUUGGAUUGGAAAUCCACCCUGCUCUCCCCAGUCAUCAGAUUCUUUAAUGGAGGCUCUGAUCUCCCUCUACUCCCCUCCCAUUCUGCCAGUACAUGCACACACUUGAGCACAAACGGCCCUUCUGCUGCAUUAAAAGCACAGCACAGCAGCUUGUUUGGAAGUGGACAUCUAGAGUCAUUUAAUAGUUUUAAUAACUGGGCUCCUUAAGGGAGGUUUCUGCUGAGUAGAAUCCACUGCACAGCAGGUUGACCAGCUGGGAACUGGGUUUUGUUAGUGAAGUUGCCUGGCAUACAAACUUCUCUCCUUAAUUUGGUCUUACCAGGAAUUGAGUCAACAAUUGCAGCAGAUUACAGAGCACCUCCAAGUUUUCUUUCACUUCCUCAUCUUCCACAGUCUCCACCAUCUUCUGGAGGUCAAGCUUGAGCCUGCGAAGCAGACACAGGGAUAGAUCCACAAAAGUCUUACUUGGCAGGUUUAUAUCACACAUACCAGUAAGUAACACGUUUCCCCAUAGAACAUGCAAAUGAGAUCUGGAUCAACAAAUCAAUGGCAUACUGUUUAUCCCAACAAGGAUACUUCCUCAGCACACAUAGGGUGUGGUAACAGACUUACGCAGCAUGCCGCUGAAGUUGCUCUAGUCUGACACUCAUCUUCUCACUUUCUUGCUCUUUCUAAGAGAAACCAGAAUUACACUGAAUUAUAGGAAGCACAAUGUAAAAAUAAGAAGCCAGAAGACAGACAACACAUUUGUAGCAAAAGACAUACACUGCCAGUCUGUGUCAAAUCAAGACACUGAAAUUUCUUCCAGUUACUUUGAUUACCUUGUUUAGAUCCGAAAUCUAUUUUGUCAGGUGUAUACACUGCAAUGAAUUAACACAGAGGAAGGAAAAGCAGGAGAGAAUGGGAGUUUAAAAGCAUCUUUAAAGCAUUAAAGCAGAGUUUCAAGAGUUCAGUUCUCUUCUUUUCCUGUAGUCUCCAGAUCUUCAGGCCUUGGCAGACUCCAGAAGACUUUUGGUUCUGACUACCCAAUAGCUAAAGAUUGGAGAUAAACGUGUGAAACUCUGAAGAGACUGCUAACAUGUCAUUAGUACAGGAGUUAUUAUUGAUCAGCCUUCAGCUAAAGGGAAAAAUCACACAAACAAAGGCUCAUCUCCCAGGAAAUGGAGCCUUACCAGAAUGAGCUUUUCCAGCAUCUGUGCUGUCUGACCAACAGCUUCACUCAGCCCUCUGCUCAGCUUUUCAACCUCUUCCGUUAGAGACUGGUUCUUCUCCAACAGAGACUGCAAGUUCUCCGAAGGUGCCACGCUAAGGAAACAUCAAGGAACCAUUUUGCUUGUGAGUAUGACUUCAGCAGAGGUUUUGUAAUAGCACUGAAACUGCCUCCAAGUUUCUGAAAUAACUUGCAGCAAAUACAGGUUAUAGCAGGUGGAUAGAAAGACUGGAGGAAGACUAAUCUGAAUUCAAAGACUCUGAGGAAUACAGGGUACUGAAAGCAGACAUUCACAAGAAAAGAAAACACCCUUUUUAACAUAGUAAUGUAAACUGCAUUAACUUGGGUUUUAAAAUUCACUCAGGAGAAAACACCCACAACAGUCCAAGCUCCUCCUUUCGCUUUUGUGCUUUUACCAGCAGUAGAGAUGGAGGUUCCUAAUUUUAAGUGGUGAACAGGGGAGGAAGAAAGGAAGUACAGAUGGACUUCAGAAAGGCAUACAAAAGUACAGCGUGUGGUUUCUCUUUCUUUACCACACACUGAUUCUGGCCAUUGUUUACACUGAAAUUUUAUCUACAAAUCUUACUUGAUAGACUCUGGGAGAGUCCCUCCAUGGGUCUGCAGCAGUAACACCUUCAGCUGUUGUACCUAGAAACAUAAACAAAUAGUGCUUGCAGGUCUCUCUUACUAGAAGGCUGAAUAUGUCCUGUCUCUUUGCCUGCUAUUUACUGAGCCGAUUACUAAAAGGAUAGAUCUGUUCUUGCUACAUGAAGAAAGCAACCAGUACCUGCUGCUUUAGUUGAAGCACCUCUGCCGCCUGGGGAUCAACGUUGACAAUUGGUUUGUUUUUUAUUUUUCUUGCCCUGUCAGCAUAGCGUAGAGUGUUCAGAGUUUCUUCUAAGUUGGAAUCUGCUGGGCUUACACAGGCUAUCAUUAGAGUGUGGCUGUUACCACCCAGAGAAUCUGAGAAGGAAAACAGGACAUUAUCAACGCUCUUAGAGAAAGCAAAAAUAAUUAGUGAAUUCUUUCUUUUCGGUAUUUUGUUAUUUAAAUUGCAGCUGUAGAUCUAGUCUUUGUCAUUAUCUGUCCCUUACCUUGCAGUAAUCUUGUUAACUUUGAGUCUCUGUAGGGGACAUAACCACCCUUCCUAUUUUCUUCACCAAGAGCACUAAUAACAUUCCCCAGGCAAAGGAGACCUCUGUUAAUGUUGAUACCUGUGCACAAACAGGUGAUGGUGAGUGAAGCAACAGUAGCUACAAAGUACUCAGUUCCUGACUUUCCUACAAAGCAUAAAGAGGUUUACUUCAAGAAGUGCAUGCAUUAAAAAUAUUCAAGAGUUAUUUUGCUUUCCCUGACAAAGACUCAAUUUAUGAACUCUAAUUUUAGAAGCCGAGUUAUGCUCUCCUCCUACAGACCUUCUUUCAGCCGGUCUCCUUUAGCCUUGGUCUUCUUUUGCCUCUCAGAUCCAGCCAGAUCAACGAGGUGUAGUUUGGAGCUAAAACUGCUGUUCCUAUGGCAGAAACAGACUGUCUUACUUGCUGAAGUAAACAAAGUUGGGAAAGAAGCGGCCCAGCAGCUACCACACUUGAGCUACAGGGCUCAGAAAUAUACCUGUUAUCAGAGGCAGUUUAAAUAAAAGAAUAGCUCAGCUGAGCUACCAAGAGAAUAGACUUUCACUAAGUAUGGCUCCUGGCAGCUGUGGGACGACUUACUUAUCAUUUUUCUUUUUCUGGUCAAUGGAAAUGGUGAAGAUCGCAUGGGAACGUGAGGACUGGGAGUUCAUUGCUGUGGCGGCCACAGUCCUGGAAUUGUUCCCUUGUUCUAAGCAGGACACGGUAUCUUGUGCACAGGUGACCCUUUUUUCUGUUAACCCUAUUAUCUGUAUCCAGAAAAAAAAAAAAAAAAAAGUAUAAUUUAUCUUCUGCUUCCUCUUCACCUCUAACUUUCUACAUCACAAAAGCUAUCUUCAGUGUACAUGUGCAUUCACAAGCACGUCAGCCUCACUUCAAGACAGAGGUUUGGUACAGAACCGCCGGAGAAAGUGAUAGGGAAAAUGGUAAAGUUCUCAGCCAAUAUGCUACUCAUGUAUCCCCUGUAUAGCACUGAACCAUGACCCAUGUAGGGGUGUUAGACUAUUGUGAAGUUAUAAAACAGCAGAGGUAGACAAUAAUAGUGCUGACUUUGCUAUUUAGUAGUUAAUAAGUUAAAAUGUAUAGUUCAAUCAUAAGACAGAUGGAGUGGACUGGUCUAGCUCGGAUGGCUCGGAUGAAAGAAGAUAAUGAAUUUUUGGACAAGUUCAAAAGAAGAGCAACACAUGAAGCAUGAAGCCUGGGCCUAGGGUGAAACACAGCGUUUUGGGAAAGAAAGAGUGAACAUAUAUUGAUUAAUCACGAGAAUGAAUAACAUAAGUGAUGUAAUGUUUACCUAAACAUAUAAAUAUAGGACCUCUGUAAAGCUUGAUGGUCAUUCACUAGGAGUGACCCAAGCUCUGUAUGCAUGUUGCACUGAGCUUGUUAAUAAAAUCAGCCCUGGAGUACCCA